rnacentral:rRNA from 1 species
CCUACGGUGGCAGCAGUGGGGAAUAUUGGACAAUGGGCGAAAGCCUGAUCCAGCCAUGCCGCGUGUGUGAAGAAGGCCUUCGGGUUGUAAAGCACUUUCAGUGGGGAAGAAAGCCUUGGGGCUAAUACCCUCGAGGAAGGACAUCACCCACAGAAGAAGCACCGGCUAACUCCGUGCCAGCAGCCGCGGUAAUACGGAGGGUGCGAGCGUUAAUCGGAAUUGCUGGGCGUAAAGCGCGCGUAGGCGGUCUGAUAAGCCGGUUGUGAAAGCCCCGGGCUCAACCUGGGAACGGCAUCCGGAACUGUCAGGCUAGAGUGCAGGAGAGGAAGGUAGAAUUCCCGGUGUAGCGGUGAAAUGCGUAGAGAUCGGGAGGAAUACCAGUGGCGAAGGCGGCCUUCUGGACUGACACUGACGCUGAGGUGCGAAAGCGUGGGUAGCAAACAGGAUUAGAUACCCCAGUAGUC